ensembl:lncRNA
GGCUGCAGAUGGGCCCUGUGGGGACAAACAGAGCUCCAGGAGAAGGAGAAUGGAAAAAGAUCCAGGUCCCAUUUCCCAGAAAGCGGAACAGGCACCCUGCAAGUCACCUCCAACGCCCGGCAGGGACCGCCCCCAGGGUGCCCACAGCCCACCAGGCAGGGCCCAGGAAAGGAAGACCUGCCCCGCCCACUGCUCCUCUGGGUCUGUCUCCACUACCCGCCACCAGCCAGCCCUCACCUACCCGAAUCACGGCCGCCAUCAUUGCCACCCACCCUCUGGAGUUCAGCCCCGUGCAAAGCCCUGCCCGUCCGUCGUGUGCACAGCAGACCUGCUCUCUGGCUGUCCCCCAUCGUCCUGAGCCCUGGUCUGCCCCCAGGGGCCAUCGAUGAAAGACUAGCACGCGGCCUGGAGUCGGCUGGCCUGGAACUGCCUCGCACCCGGGCCCAGCAGGGCCCCUGGAAGAAAGGCAGCCAGGCAGGAAGCGGCUGCGUGGGCCAGAAAACGACAGAAUUCGCACAGAACGGCCCAAAUUGCCCACUCGUGCUUCCUAACAGUUGUUCUAUUUGUGCAUGUUCUUUUUUUUUUUUUUCCAUUUCAGGAGAAAAAAAAACAACCCAUAUAUUUCCUGUAAUUUUUUACUUAAAAAGGGAAAAAGGUAAAAGAAGCAGACGGAAAACAGGGCUGGAAAUGAAACCUCAGCAGGCGGCUCGGAGGGCCUGGGGGCGCGGAGGAGCCAUGCAGAACGUCCCAGACACUCUGGCCACGGCGGGCAGGGCAGAGGGCGAGGCAGGUGGCCGCCUGGACCAGCCCCCAGGCUGGCCCGCUGGGGGCAGGAGACCUCCGAGACGGGAGGCCCUGCCACCUGCUGGGAUUGCUCUCCAAGCUUCUUCAUGGCCAUGGCCGCAGACCGUGGGUGCCCUUGGCAGUGUGGGUGGGUUCGCCUGGUUAGAGUCGCAUCCCAGUGACUCGGGGGCUUUGGGGUGCAUCAUCUGCCCCACUGCUGCUGGGGUCUUACACGAGGCCCUUUAGCUGACCAAGGAGUGGAUGCUCUCUGGUCAGGAUGAACCUACCAGCAGUGUCCUCCCGGGAGUGUCCUUCCGGGAGUGCUCCAGACCGAGUGCAGUGAGGGGCGCAGCCAGUGCAAGCUGUGUGCCAGGGGACCCACCCCCAGGCGGAGACCAGGGCUGGGGGCAGGGCGUCAGGGAAACAGGCUCGCCCUGGAGUGUUGACAGAAUCACAGCCUCUCCAACUGGGCGUCCCAGUCCCCAGAGCCUGCAAAGUGUCCGCUCAGCCGGUGCCAUGGCUCAAUAGGCUAAUCCUCCGCCUUGCGGCGCUGGCACACCAGGUUCUAGUCCCGGUCGGGGCGCCGGAUUCUGUCCCAGUUGCUCCUCUUCCAGGCCAGCUCUCUGCUGUGGCCCGGGAGUGCAGUGGAGGAUGGCCCAAGUCCUUGGGCCCUGCACCCCGUGGGAGACCAGGAGAAGCACCUGGCUCCUGCCUCGGGAUCAGCACAGGUGCCGGCCGCAGCGCGCCGGCCGCAGCGGCCAUUGGAGGGUGAACCAACAGCAAAAGGAAGACCUUUCUCUCUGUCUCUCUCUCUCACUGUCCACUCUGCCUAUAAAAAAAAAAAAAAAAAGUGUCCGCUCACAGGCAAAAGGGCCUUUGCAGAUGUGACUAACUUAGAGGACUCGAGAUGGG